rnacentral:rRNA from 1 species
CGUCUCAGUUCGGAUUGUAGUCUGCAACUCGACUACAUGAAGCUGGAAUCGCUAGUAAUCGCGGAUCAGAAUGCCGCGGUGAAUACGUUCCCGGGUCUUGUACACACCGCCCGUCACACCAUGGGAGUCGGAAAUGCCCGAAGUCUGUGACCGAACCGAAAGGAAGGAGCAGCCGAAGGCAGGUCGGAUGACUGGGGUGAAGUCGUAACAAGGUAAC